AGUGAACGCUGGCGGUAGACCUAACACAUGCAAGUCGAACGGCAGCACAGUAAGAGCUUGCUCUUACGGGUGGCGAGUGGCGGACGGGUGAGGAAUACAUCGGAAUCUACUUUUUCGUGGGGGAUAACGUAGGGAAACUUACGCUAAUACCGCAUACGACCUACGGGUGAAAGCAGGGGAUCUUCGGACCUUGCGCGAUUGAAUGAGCCGAUGUCGGAUUAGCUAGUUGGCGGGGUAAAGGCCCACCAAGGCGACGAUCCGUAGCUGGUCUGAGAGGAUGAUCAGCCACACUGGAACUGAGACACGGUCCAGACUCCUACGGGAGGCAGCAGUGGGGAAUAUUGGACAAUGGGCGCAAGCCUGAUCCAGACAUACCGCGUGGGUGAAGAAGGCCUUCGGGUUGUAAAGCCCUUUUGUUGGGAAAGAAAAGCAGCAGGUUAAUACCCCGCUGUUCUGACGGUACCCAAAGAAUAAGCACCGGCUAACUUCGUG
rnacentral:rRNA from 1 species